rnacentral:pre_miRNA from 1 species
UUUUCUGGAUGUGCCAAGAAAGUGGUUUCUUGAGAUGGAAUCUACUCCUGGUGAAGAUGCUAUGAA